rnacentral:rRNA from 1 species
UAAUAUUAUUUCUGAAGCACCUGUUCCAAUACGAUCACCAAAGUUAAGCAACGUGGAGCCUGAUCAGUACCUAGGUAGGUGACCGCUUGAAAAUACCAGGUGCC